AGGCUCAGUUCCAUACAAGAGACUAAAGAACAUUGUGGAAAGCAGGUACCUUAUGGUAGAUGUACCCAAGUUAUCACCUGUUUGCCAGACAUAUUCCUUGGGGGUGUUCCAUUCUUUGGUGAACCACUUCUGCCCAAAGAGCACCCACUUCUUCUACCAACCAAAGCUUGCAAGGUAAUAACUGAUAAAGUUAAUUUUAUAAAAAUCAGAAGAUGUGGUAUGAUUGCCAAUAAAACAACUAUCCACUGGAGACAAAUAACAUAGAAGUAACUAUCUAUGUAUAGGUCACUAUGCAGCCUUUGACAAUAAGCAAAACCUGUACCGUCUAGUAAGCUUUAAUUUUGUGUUGUAUUACCACUGCAUGAAAUACUGUUUUCAAUACAAUGAGCAGUAACUGGAUUACAAUUUGAUAGAAAUAACUGCGAUUUAUAAGAGAAACUGUUAAAAAAAAUGUUGUAUUUCCUUACUGCAUAUCAUACAAACAAUAUGCUAGUUAGGCAAAUUUCAGAAAUAUUGUCGAACUAAUUUAUGUAUUCAUGUUUACAGAUAGAGUAUUGCUGCUCUUCAUUAUAACGAGAACAGUGGGCAACAGCAAGCAACAACUAAAACUGGGUAACAGCUUUUCAGAAUGUGUUACCCAAAGGUCAAACAAGGUACUGAGGCAGUGGUUAAGCCAAAGAAGACUGCACCAACAUUUGGUAAGUAUU
rnacentral:lncRNA from 1 species